UACGAAGGGGGCUAGCGUUGCUCGGAAUCACUGGGCGUAAAGGGCGCGUAGGCGGAUCUUUAAGUCGGGGGUGAAAGCCCGAGGCUCGACCUCAGAAUUGCCUUCGAUACUGGAGAUCUUUGAGACCGGAAGAGGUAAGUGGAACUGCGAGUGUAGAGGUGAAAUUCGUAGAUAUUCGCAAGAACACCAGUGGCGAAGGCGGCUCACUGGCCCGGAACUGACGCUGAGGUGCGAAAGCGUGGGGAGCAA
rnacentral:rRNA from 1 species